GGAGAGGUGCGAGAGCGGCCGAAUCGGAGCGAUUGGAAAUCGCUUGUCCCGUUAAAAGCGGGACCCCGGGUUCAAAUCCCGGCCUCUCCG
rnacentral:tRNA from 1 species